rnacentral:pre_miRNA from 1 species
AAUAGAUGAUGCCGUUGACUUUUUCUCACAUGUUUGACCAUUCGUCUUAUUCAAAAAAUUUACGUAAUUAUAAUUUAUUUAUGAGUUAUUUUAUCACCCAUAGUACUUUAAGUGUGAUUUAUAUCUUAUGCAUUUACAUAAAAUUUUUUAAUAAGACGAAUGGUAAAAUAUGUGAGAAAAAGUCAACGGCGUCAUCUAUU